CCCCCCCCCUCAUCUCUCUCCUCCCCCCUCUCUCUCUCCCCCUCCUCCCCCCAUCGGGUUAUUGACCCACUCAGCAAGUACAGCAGCUCCUGUGCGCGCGCGUCACCGGGCCGCUUGUGGUCGUUGUGCUUCUUACUGGGACAGAAUCACGUCCCCACCAAUAUGCGGGACACACGUCCCCCAAACGUUUUUUAAUGUUCAUUUAUUCAUCCAGGUUUAUUUAAGUCGAGCGUCACAUGUUCCAGGUGUUGAUUCGUACCAGAACAAUCUGUACUCAUACGAAGCUUUACCGUUAACAAUGAAAGUAUGGAUGUAGUUAAAGGGUGGAUGUAGUUAAAGGGUGGAUGUAGUUAAAGUAUGGAUGUAGUUAAAGGGUGGAUGUAGUUAAAGGGUGACCUGAAUGAAGCUCAGUGGUGGUAACGGACUCACAAAGCUACAAACACAGCAGCCCUGCAGUGAGACCCAGACAACACCGGGUCACAAACAACCAUCCAACAUGCUCCUGUAGCUGUGACUACAGCGUGUGGAUGGUAGUGACUGAUGGACAGGUGUCACUGUGUGUGGUUCACCUGUCAUCAGGGGGUCAAUGAUGUCAUGUAGUGUUAAAGCGCUUUGAGUGGUCAGAAGACAAGUGCUAUACAAGUACAGUCCAUUUACCUCAGUGGCCCCUCAGUGGUCCCUCAGUGGUCCCUCAGUGGCCCCUCAGUGGUCCCUCAGUGGUUCCUCAGUGGUCCCUCAGUAGUCCCUCAGUGGCCCCUCAGUGGUCCCUCAGUGGUCCCUCAGUGGCCCCUCAGUGGUCCCUCAGUGGUCCCUCAGUGGUUCCUCAGUGGUCCCUCAGUAGUCCCUCAGUGGCCCCUCAGUGGUCCCUCAGUGGUCCCUCAGUGGUCCCUCAGUAGCCUCAGUGGUCCCUCAGUGUGCCCUCAGUGGUCCCUCAGUGGUUCCUCAGUGGUCCCUCAGUGGCCCCUCAGUGGUCCCUCAGUGGUCCCUCAGUGGUCCCUCAGUGGCCCCUCAGUGGUCCCUCAGUGGCCCCUCAUGGGCCUCACAGGCUUCUGUCAGCUGUCAGAGAGUAAACAUCAUUUCCUCUGAUGUAAAUAACAUUUGAAAGGCGCUGCUCUUGUCGUUGUGCAUCAGUUCGAAUGGAUUGUUUGUAAAUAAAUGUGACCUGUGAGUUUCCUGUUGUCAUUGACUUAAUUACAUUGUUAUGACUCUACUAUGUUAAUUAUUAUCCGUCAUGCAUUUGUAGGUGUUGAUCUUAACGCUUUAUUUCACCUUAUACUGUGUGACAGUGUUAUGUGAAUAUGAGGUGUUACACAAAACAAAUAAUAACCUGUAACCUGGCGUCAUAAUGAGGUUAUUAAGUUAUAUAUAUAUAUAUAUAUAUAUAUAUUGUA
ensembl:lncRNA